UAUACAACAGUGGAUGGAAACAUACAGUUAGAGUUCAAAUCAGUUAUUCGUUAGGAACGCGCUAGGAACGAGGCCUGUCAUACAGUGAAGACUUCAUCAAGCGUUGGAUUCUUUUAAAAUCCAGGGAUACCAAGAAACUUUGGGAUUGAAGACUGACAGGUAAACCGUUUCAACUCGAGUCCAAAACUUCGUGAAAACCCUGCGUGGGAGAGUCAUUAUAUAUCGGGGUGACGAACUUAACGGCUCGCUGGAUUAGCGAAGGAUUUUUCAACCUGGUGAAUGGGAUCAGCGAGUGAACGAAACAAGAGACUCCUCAAGCUUAAAAGGUCUUAAUAAAGUCCGCCGAACGAGAGCCAAUCAGUAGCCGACUUGUACCUUUGAAGUCAUUCGGCACUAUCCACCGCCUUUUGAAGCAGAUUGGUUUUGGAUCUAUCUUGACAGUUCUCAAAAGCGUUUACUCCCCUCCAAAGAGUUUGUCAAGAGGGUAAUUUGGAAAUUAUCUUAAAAUAAAUCGAUUGGUUGAUUGCGUUUCCAUAUUCGACUCCUAAAUCGUCUCGCAAUCACUUGUAGCGGCCGGGUAGACGUCUUGGCUAUAAAGAGAAGGACAGCAAUUUGAAAUCAGAAAAAGGGGUCGUAAACAGGRCAUAUUUGUAGUUAAGAGGAGAAAAAACAUACUAAAACAAACGUUUGUUUUAAAAGCGAUGAAACUGUUAGGGGAAGAAAAAGGAGAGAAAACAUUGAUAAAAUGCUAAGAAAAGCGUACAACAGGUGCAAUAUGCAUUAGACAUUCGUCGAGCUCUUAAGGAGUCAUCUUUAUUCACCGACCCAGAACUAAAAAAACGCAAAAAAUCUAGUCGAACAUGGCUCUGAAUAACUCCUCUCUCAACAAUGGGACUUUCUAUUCUCCAGCUGGCUACAACUACAUCGAAAAGGUAUCCAUAGUAUUUAUGAUGUGCCUGUUUACAGUGCUGGCCAUCCCUGGGAAUGCUAUUGUGAUUUUCAUCGUCUCUCGCGUGCAGAGCAUGAAAACAUCAACCAAUUUCCUGCUUCUGAACUUAUGCAUCGCGGAUCUGUUGAUCGCAGUUAUUUAUUUGCCAUUCAUCACGGUCGCUCUUUACAUUACUAAUGGAUGGAUUUUUGGGACAUUUAUGUGUAAACUGGUAUCGUUUUCUCAGUCAGUUGCUACCAAGGCGUCAAUUCUUAUCCUUACCGCGCUCUCUCUAGAGAGAUAUCUGUCAAUAUGCCGACCAAACCGUAUAGUGAUCACAGCAGUGCGAGUCCGAAUCCUCUGCGCAAGCCUUUGGAUCGUUGCUAUGGGAACAGCAUUGCCUCUCUUUAUUUACAAGACAACGAGACCGUAUUUUGGGAAUGAGUAUUGCACGGAGUCUUGGUCAUUUGAAGCCGCGGCAGCUUACACCUAUGUGGUCUUUGCGCUGUUCUACGUAAUGCCACUGCUGGUUAUGGUAGCAUUGUACCUUAAGAUUGGACAGAAACUCCUGCAAAGUACUCGAAAAACCAGUAGCAUGAGACACCCAAAUAGCACAGGCAAAGCAACGCUGUCCUCAAAAACUAGACUCACUAGGAUAUGCGUGCUUAUAAUACUCAGUUUUGCGCUGUCUUGGGCUCCUGCGCAUAUUAUUACUCUCCAUUAUUAUUCAAGUGUGGAUAGUCCACUGGGCAAUGAAGAUAUUAUUUAUCCAAUUGUAAGCUGUAUAUCGUACUCGAAUUGUGCUCUCAACCCUCUACUGUACUGCUUCAUGAGUCAAAACUUUAGAAAUGCCAUUGUUACUGAGUGGAAGCGUCUCACUACAAGGCGCAGGCAAAACAUCUAUGGUGGACUGCCCGGCAUGUCGCUCAGGGGACGUGACUCUAUCUUGCGUACUUUGUCGAUGCGCAUUCAAGGAUCGCUUCAGUCAUCGAAAGAACAAGAAGAAACUGAAACUGAAAUCAAAAGCAAACACGAAAGUAUAGAUCUAGAGACUUCUUUGACCGUGUUCGAGUCGGCGUUGUAGUAACAAAGUAUUACUGAAUGUGUACAAAAGUGAUAAAACUCUACUCUUCCUUCGUGUACCAAGAAAUUCCAAACUUUCGUUUUUGAAUAUACAACUCGGAGCAAUCAGUCGUUAUUGUGGGUCAAACAUUAUUAUUAUUGUUAAGCUCCAAUAAAGAUCAUCUCCAGCAAGAAAACAUGUUCAAAGAAAAAACUAUACUUAAAUCAUGAUUCAUCAAAAAUGCUGUGUCCGGUCAAAGCAUGCAACCUUGGAAAAAAAGCUUAAUAUCUUAGGUUUCAAAAAUGUGUCGUAAAAGUCAUGAAAAAGAAUCAGUCCCAGCCUACGUUGUUGAUGUUGUUGAUGACCUAUAUCCCACGAGGGGUGUAGAGGCUUAGGAGGAGCCGCCUACGUUGCCUUUAGGCGUAUUACAGAUGAGUUUUGCCGCGCAUUGAUUGCCAAAGACAGGAAAUAUAUCUUGUGUGGUUACAGCUAUGACAAGUGCAAUAUAAUUUUCGUAUCGAAAAGGUGAGAAGGACGAAGACUGGAAAAGCAAGAAGAGAAUAUUAAAUCAUGACAAAUCAUGAAGACACGAACAAAACUCAUCUGAAACGGAGUUUAAUCGCUCAUGUAUAAGUAACCCGAAGAUAAAUAUAAUAUAGCUACGAUAGAGAAUAUUUUUUAUGAUUUGACUUGGGUCGUCGCCAUGACGCGAAAUCACAUCAGCCUACUAUUUUAUGUCAAACAGUGUGAGACAUGAGACUCUGUAUUGACGUUAUUUAUAUAAAUAGUAAGCAUCGUAUCGAAUCCGUUAGUAGGGUAGGCCAGUUCUAGGGGGUGUACUCCUCCUUCAAUCUCACCCUACCCACUCUUACAUGGUCUUUUUUUUUGUUCGUGGAGAUAAAUUGGUCCUUUGCCAUUAAACUCUCUGUAGCACGAUUCACUAAAGGUGCUGACACACGGUGCAACAUUGCAUGCACAUUGCACGCAAUAGGACUGUUGCAGCGUGUGUCUACCCCAAACUUGUUGCACGC